CAUCCAGUUUGACAGAGCUCUUAUUCUCUAACACCCAUCAGAGAAAAGGUGAGGACCCGGCAGAUGCGGCCUGUUUACAGAACACCAGCAGGCCUGAGGCGACUUUUCCAGAGCCAUCUGCCCCCAAAGAGGUCCUCACCUGGGCUCCAGGCAGCUUCCUGGGGAGCCCCAGGCUACGAGCGAUACUGAUCCGGCUGAUGGCCACCUCUCUAGACAGCCCCACCGGGAGCAACCAGUUGUCCAGGGAAUUUGAGACAGCAGUUACAGAACAGGGCACUACAGUUCCCUAACUCUGGGAGAAAUCUUCAUCAGCCACAAGAGUUCCUUGAGUGUUCUGUGCCCCACAAAGGAACAGAAGAGCCUUAUGAAGAAAACUGAGGCCUGGAGAACCACUGAUGAAACACAAAAGAACCACAGGAAGCUUGAAGGGGGAAGUCCAAAAACACGGCUUUAAAGAUUUGUUUAAAGGAAGUAAAAGUACCCUUUAAAUAAAAUAUAUUAAUGUUGAAACUAU